UACGAAGGGGGGCUAGCGUUGCUCGGAAUCACUGGGCGUAAAGCGCACGUAGGCGGCUUCUUAAGUCAGGGGUGAAAUCCUGGAGCUCAACUCCAGAACUGCCUUUGAUACUGAGGAGCUCGAGUCCGGGAGAGGUGAGUGGAACUCCGAGUGUAGAGGUGAAAUUCGUAGAUAUUCGGAAGAACACCAGUGGCGAAGGCGGCUCACUGGCCCGGUACUGACGCUGAGGUGCGAAAGCGUGGGGAGCAAGCAGG
rnacentral:rRNA from 1 species